rnacentral:rRNA from 1 species
GUAGUUAGCCGGGGCUUCCUUACAGAUUACCGUCACUUCCUUCGUCAUCUGCAACAGAGGUUUACAAUCCGAAAACCUUCUUCCCUCACGCGGCGUUGCUGGGUCAGGCUUGCGCCCAUUGCCCAAUAUUCCCCACUGCUGCCUCCCGUAGGAGUCUGGACCGUGUCUCAGUUCCAGUGUGGCCGAUCAGCCUCUCAGCUCGGCUACCCAUCGUCGGCUAGGUGGGCCGUUACCCCGCCUACUACCUAAUGGGACGCGAACCCCUCCUAAAGCGGAUUGCUCCUUUGACCCCUUCGCCAUGUGGCAUUGUGGUCUUAUGCGGUAUUAGCACUUGUUUCCAGGUGUUAUCCCCCUCUUUAGGUCAGGUUGUUCACGCGUUACUCACCCGUGCGCCACUAAAGAUACCUCGUAUUGCUACUCAGUAUCCUCCGUUCGACUUGCAUGUGUUAGGCACGCCGCCAGCGUUCGUCCUGAGCCAUAAUCAAACUCUGA